rnacentral:rRNA from 1 species
GACGAACGCUGGCGGCGUGCUUAACACAUGCAAGUCGAACGGAAAGGCCCUGCUUUUGUGGGGUGCUCGAGUGGCGAACGGGUGAGUAACACGUGAGUAACCUGCCCUUGACUUUGGGAUAACUUCAGGAAACUGGGGCUAAUACCGGAUAGGAGCUCCUGCUGCAUGGUGGGGGUUGGAAAGUUUCGGCGGUUGGGGAUGGACUCGCGGCUUAUCAGCUUGUUGGUGGGGUAGUGGCUUACCAAGGCUUUGACGGGUAGCCGGCCUGAGAGGGUGACCGGCAACAUUGGGACUGGGAUACGGCCCAGACGCAUACGGGAGGCAGCAGUGGGGAAUAGUGCACAAUGGGCGGAAGCCUGAUGCAGCAACGCCGCGUGCGGGAUGACGGCCUUCGGGUUGUAAACCGCUUUCGCCUGUGACGAAGCGUGAGUGACGGUAUGGGUAAAGAAGCACCGGCUAACUACGUG